rnacentral:rRNA from 1 species
UGCGUAGGCGGCUUUUUAAGUCGGAUGUGAAAUCCCCGCGCUUAACGUGGGCAUUGCAUUUGAAACUAUGUAGCUAGAGUUCUGUAGAGGGGGGUAGAAUUCCAGGUGUAGCGGUGAAAUGCGUAGAGAUCUGGAGGAAUACCGAUUGCGAAGGCAGCCCCCUGGACAGUGACUGACGCUCAUAUGCGAAAGCGUGGGGAUCAAACAGGAUUAGAUACCCCUGUA